rnacentral:rRNA from 1 species
CCUACGGGAGGCAGCAGUGGGGAAUAUUGGACAAUGGGGGGAACCCUGAUCCAGCCAUGCCGCGUGUGUGAAGAAGGCCCUCGGGUUGUAAAGCACUUUCAGUGAGGAAGAACGCCUGGUGGUUAAUACCCAUCAGGAAAGACAUCACCCACAGAAGAAGCACCGGCUAACUCCGUGCCAGCAGCCGCGGUAAUACGGAGGGUGCGAGCGUUGAUCGGAAUUACUGGGCGUAAAGCGCGCGUAGGUGGCUUGAUAAGCCGGUUGUGAAAGCCCCGGGCUCAACCUGGGAACGGCAUCCGGAACUGGCAAGCUAGAGUGCGGGAGAGGAAGGUAGAAUUGCCGGUGUAGAGGUGAAAUGCGUAGAGAUCGGGAGGAAUACCAGUGGCGAAGGCGGCCUUCUGGACUGACACUGACGCUGAGGUGCGAAAGCGUGGGGAGCAAACAGGAUUAGAUACCCCGGUAGUC